AGAGUUUGAUCCUGGCUCAGGAUGAAUGCUGGCGGCGUGCUUAACACAUGCAAGUCGAACGAAGCACUUUAACCUGAUUCUUCGGAUGAAGGUUUUUGUGACUGAGUGGCGGACGGGUGAGUAACGCGUGGGUAACCUGCCUCAUACAGGGGGAUAACAGUUAGAAAUGACUGCUAAUACCGCAUAAGACCACGGAGCCGCAUGGCUCAGUGGGAAAAACUCCGGUGGUAUGAGAUGGACCCGCGUCUGAUUAGGUAGUUGGUGGGGUAACGGCCUACCAAGCCAACGAUCAGUAGCCGACCUGAGAGGGUGACCGGCCACAUUGGGACUGAGACACGGCCCAAACUCCUACGGGAGGCAGCAGUGGGGAAUAUUGCACAAUGGGGGAAACCCUGAUGCAGCGACGCCGCGUGAGCGAAGAAGUAUUUCGGUAUGUAAAGCUCUAUCAGCAGGGAAGAAAAUGACGGUACCUGACUAAGAAGCACCGGCUAAAUACGUGCCAGCAGCCGCGGUAAUACGUAUGGUGCAAGCGUUAUCCGGAUUUACUGGGUGUAAAGGGAGCGUAGACGGCUGUGUAAGUCUGAAGUGAAAGCCCGGGGCUCAACCCCGGGACUGCUUUGGAAACUAUGCAGCUAGAGUGUCGGAGAGGUAAGUGGAAUUCCCAGUGUUAGCGGUGAAAUGCGUAGAUAUUGGGAGGAACCCCCGUGGGCGAAGGCGGCUUACUGGACGAUGACUGACGUUGAGGCUCGAAAGCGUGGGGAGCAAACAGGAUUAGAUACCCUGGUAGUCCACGCCGUAAACGAUGACUACUAGGUGUCGGGGAGCAAAGCUCUUCGGUGCCGCAGCAAACGCAAUAAGUAGUCCACCUGGGGAGUACGACCGCAAGGUUGAAACUCAAAGGAAUUGACGGGGGCCCGCACAAGCAGUGGAGUAUGUGGUUUAAUUCGACGCAACGCGAAGAACCUUACCAAGUCUUGACAUCCUGCGACGCACAUAGAAAUAUGUGUUUCCUUCGGGACGCAGAGACAGGUGGUGCAUGGUUGUCGUCAGCUCGUGUCGUGAGAUGUUGGGUUAAGUCCCGCAACGAGCGCAACCCUUACUGUCAGUUACUACGCAAGAGGACUCUGGCAGGACUGCCGUUGACAAAACGGAGGAAGGUGGGGAUGACGUCAAAUCAUCAUGCCCUUUAUGACUUGGGCUACACACGUACUACAAUGGCGUUAAACAAAGAGAAGCAAGACCGCGAGGUGGAGCAAAACUCAGAAACAACGUCCCAGUUCGGACUGCAGGCUGCAACUCGCCUGCACGAAGUCGGAAUUGCUAGUAAUCGUGGAUCAGCAUGUCACGGUGAAUACGUUCCCGGGCCUUGUACUCACCGCCCGUCA
rnacentral:rRNA from 1 species